rnacentral:lncRNA from 1 species
AUGCUCAGUUUCCCACUUUCCCCCCUCCUCCCUCCCCAAUGGGAUGGGGCGGAGCCUAGAGAGCGCCUAACUCCGCGCGCGCUCCCGGUGGCUAAAGUCCCGGGAAUUUCCCAGCGGGGAGCCCUCCAAGUGGGAUCGCCUUGCAGAGGGGUGUGUGCGCGCGCGCAGGAGAAAAGAAAACACUUGAAUGGAACUGAAGUAAAGGUUUGUGGCCCAAGACAGAAUUUGCAGAGAUCUUUCUUGUAAACAGUAAGUUGAUUUGAUUUGCCAAUAUGCUCCCCUUUUUUCUUCCACACACACCCCCAAUUCAUCCUUUUGCCAUGUUGGCCUCUCUUCCCUCCCUAGUCCUAGUACAAAAGUUCAGCAUCGCUUUGUUUUCUUGCCCCUUCAGGGGGUGCUUUGAGUUCCCUAGAGUACUGAUUACCUAAUGAAGGGACAGCUUUUCUCUCUUUUGUUACCAGGGUUUUAGGUGGUGCCCGAUUGUCUGCUGGAGGCAGGAUUUGGAAAGCCUGCCAUCUCAGGGAAGAAUAGCUCCAGAAAGGUCUCAUCCUGGUCGUUACAGCCUCACAUCAUGAGCACCUGCCCUAGUUUUGUUUUAAAUGAUGGGACCAUUAAGAUGCAGGCUUUGGGUUGAUGAGCUUAAAUUCCAAAAGCUGAAAGACAUGCAAGAUUAACAGAAGAAUCCUAUGUUUUAAGAGUAACAACUAGGCUGUAAUAGGAAUCUUAUGGGGACUCCUCAUGAAAGCAUUGGCUGUAACAAAUAUAAAAAUUCUCAGAAGGGUCUUCUUGGCAGUGGGGAACAUAAGGAUCCUGCAGUGGAAUUCCCCAGGUUUGGUUUAACCAUCUCCCACUUAUAGUUACUGAGCCACAUUUGGGGGGGGAUUUCCAUUUAAACAAGUUAGUGGAUUCUCCUUUGCACACAAUGUGGAGAAUAGAGCAUUAUUGUAGAUAACCUGGAGGAUACAAACAGCAGUCUAGCCAGCAUAGAAGAGAAAAAUAGAGACGAUCUAAACUGUUUCUCGUUAGCUAUCAGGAAAAAAAGACCAUUUAAAAUUUCCAGAGUUCUAAAUUUUAUUUACUAAAUAAGUAUGUGUAUUUGUUGGAGGGUGUAACAAAAGGUAAGGAGGAGGUGGGGAGCAGAGCUGCUCCAAAUCUUCUUCAUCCCCAGGUGAACCUUAUUGUCAUGCAUUAGGGUUGUUGAUCUCCUGGAGUCAGAGGUCGUAGCCUUGGGACCUAUUAUAUACUC